GGGGGAAGAGGCCAUAGCUCAGUGGUAGAGCAUCUGCUUUGCAUGCAGAAGGUCUCAGUUCAAUACCCAGUAUCCCCA